UACGUAGGUGGCAAGCGUUGUCCGGAUUUACUGGGCGUAAAGAGCGCGCAGGCGGUCGUUCAAGUCGCGUGUGAAAGCCCCCGGCUCAACUGGGGAGGGUCACGCGAUACUGAUCGACUCGAAGGCAGGAGAGGGUAGUGGAAUUCCCGGUGUAGUGGUGAAAUGCGUAGAUAUCGGGAGGAACACCGGUGGCGAAGGCGGUUCUCUGGGCCUGUACUGACGCUGAGGAGCGAAAGCGUGGGGAGCAAACAGG
rnacentral:rRNA from 1 species